ACCUGGCUGUCUCAGUCGGUAAAGCAUGUGACUCUUAAUCUCAGGGUCGUGAGUUCAAGCCCCACGUUGGGCG
rnacentral:tRNA from 1 species